rnacentral:lncRNA from 1 species
GCCCCAGCGCCAUCCAGGACCCGACCUAGCAUCACGGAGGUUGAAGCACAUCCCUAACACCCAGACAGAUGUCGAGAACUUGGGAACCUCCCAGCCACCAGGAUAAUCAUCUAGUUUAGGGGGUUUAUUCACAAGGUUUGUCAUAUGAUUUCCAGGAGCCUGGUGGAGAUGGCUACAACCAUACUCCAAGGCACGCCAUU